rnacentral:rRNA from 1 species
ACAAUGGGGGCAACCCUGAUCCAGCCAUGCCGCGUGAGUGAAGAAGGCCUUCGGGUUGUAAAGCUCUUUCGGCGGGGAAGAAAUGGCAACGGCUAAUAUCCGUUGUUGAUGACGGUACCCGCAUAAGAAGCACCGGCUAACUACGUGCCAGCAGCCGCGGUAAUACGUAGGGUGCGAGCGUUAAUCGGAAUUACUGGGCGUAAAGCGUGCGCAGGCGGUUUCGUAAGACAGACGUGAAAUCCCCGGGCUCAACCUGGGAACUGCGUUUGUGACUGCGAGGCUAGAGUACGGCAGAGGGGGGUAGAAUUCCACGUGUAGCAGUGAAAUGCGUAGAGAUGUGGAGGAAUACCGAUGGCGAAGGCAGCCCCCUGGGUUAGUACUGACGCUCAUGCACGAAAGCGUGGGGAGCAAACAGGAUUAGAUACCCUGGUAG